rnacentral:lncRNA from 1 species
GAGUAGAAACACCCCUGUGAUACUGUUCUUAAUAUUCAGGGAGGAAGAGGAUGAUAUUACUCCCAAUACAGACGGGUGUACACCCUCUGUACACCGAGGGUGUACACCUGUCUGUGAAAGAGUUCGUAAUCUCCAGAGGGGGAGAUGAUAUUACUCACAAUAUGGUAAAGAGGCUGUGAGUCCACGGAGGAUCCUCAGAGCCAGCGGGGGAAGAGGGGCUGGCUCUCAGUCCCCGCCUCGCGGGGGUGACUCCCCCCAGUGCGAUGGGGGUCCUAAGAGCCAGUGGGGGAAGAGGGGCUGGCUCUGAGACCCCGCCUCGCGGGGGGUGCCUCCCCGCCCUGUGAUGGGGGUCCGAAGAGCCAGAAGGCUUAGAGGGGCUGGCUCUCAGUCCCCGCCUCGCGGGGGGUGCCUCCUCCCCCUGCGAUGGGGGUCGUAAGAGCCACUGGGGGAAUAGGGGCUUGCUCUCAGUCACCGCCUCGCGGGGGGUGCCUCCUUUCCUUUCUACAUAGACACAGUGACAGUCUGAUCUCUCUUUCUUUUCCCUACAGAUGGACACGCCCCCACUGAUAUUGUUUUUAAUGCAGCGUGGGAGGGGAGGAUAUGACACGCGAUAUCGCAGGUAGUAGAAACACCCCUUUGAUAGUGUUCUUAAUAUUCAGGGAGGAAGAAGAUGAUGUUACUCCCAAUACAGACGGAUGUACACCCUCUGUACACCGAGGGUGUACACCCGUCUGUGAAGGAGUUCGUAAUCUCCAGAGGUGGAGAUGAUAUUACUCACAAUAUGGUAAACAGGCUGUGAGUCCAUCGCGGAUCCUCAGAGCCAGGUGGGGAAGAGGGGCUGGCUGUCAGUCCCCUCCUCGCGGGGGGUGCCUCCCCCACUGCUAUGGGGAUCCCAAGAGCCAGUGGGGGAAGAGGUGCUGGCUCUCAGUCUCCGCCUCGCGAGGUGCCUCCCCACCCUGCGAUCGGGGUCCGAAGAGCCAGGGGGGAAGAGGGGCUGGCUCUCUUCGUGGAUGAUUCUUUUUCCAUUCUCAGGCAGUUUUCUUUUUUCUUUCUUUCUUUUUUUUUUUUUUUGAGACUGAGUCUUGCUCUGUUGCCCAUGCUUUGCUCGAUCUCGGGUGACUGCAACCACUGCCUCCCAGGUUCAAGAGAUUCUCCUGCCUCAGCCUCCUGAGUAGCUGGGACUAGAGGCGUGUGUCACCACACCCAGCUAAUUUUUGUAUUUUUAGUAGAGAUGGGGUUUCACCAUGUUUGCCAGGAUGGUCUCUAUCUCCUGCCCUUGUGAUCCACCCACCUCAGCCUCCCAAAGUGCUGGGAUUGCAGGUGCGAGCCACCGGGUCCAGCCUCUCAGGCGAUUUUCAUACCUGCAUACUCUGGUCACUACUCUGUUAAACAGUCAAGGAGGGUAAGUAUUAUCUUCAGAUUUCCAGAGCUCUGUCUCUGUACAGCCCUCUCCUCCUCAAUAUUCUGCCCUAUGAAUUCUAGCCACAUUGGCCUUCCCAGGCUCACAGUUCUGUCUUCUCAACUCAGGAAGAUCUCUGAGUUCCAUCUGCAUUCUUUCUUCCUGUGCUGUGGCCUGGAAAGUUUUCUAAGGUGUUAGGGAGGUCAAUUGUGGGGCUAGCCUCAUUUGUUUCUCAUCUCUUGAGGAUCACUGCCCUUUGAUGCUUGAUUCCAGUGAUUGAUUCCCUUUGUUGCUUGAGGGCCAUAGUUUCAUAUAUUUUGUCCAGUAGUUUUGUUGUUUUAGGUCAGAAAGUAAUUUUGGUCUCUGUUACUCUAUCUUGGCCAGAAGUGUAAGACCUAAGCAUUUACACAUCAAAAUACUGCACACAUAAUUUUAGUUUAAGCUACUUUUUAAAAAAUCUCCUUCAUUUUCCAUUUAGCAUUCUAUUUAGGGUAUUACAUUGGUUUUUUUGAAAUUCUGUUAUUGGCAGUUUCUAUUGCCUAUCAAUCCCAUUUAAAGAUAGUGCAUAGGGUAUUCUAAAAUAGCUGUUAAGCAAAGAGAAAAUUGGGCCUGAUAGGGUGAGAAUCACAGCUCUAAUACCUAGAGUGACCUUAUAAUGUAUUGUCCAAAGGAGAUAUUUUUGACAGUGAAAGAGGGUGUUGUUAGUAAUUAUAUCAGGACCAUGGCCUAAACCAGGACUAUCCCAGGAAGCCUGGGACAUAUUUGUACCCCAUCUCUAUUUAAUGCCUUUAUACAAUUCUUUACUUAAUUCUACCAGCCUUUAUUGAGCCUGCUUUCUUUGUCUAGCUGAGUGCCACGUGCUGACGUCACUAAGAUCAAUACAGCAAACUCUGAAAGAUGGACAGAGAGACAGGAGAUGGUCCUUUAUAAUGCAGUGUGAUCUGUGCUGCAAUAGAGAUGGAAGAGUGUUCUGAUCGGCUGGAAAACAACGCACAUGGGAAGCUGUACAGAAAUGAGUGGGGAAAG